AUACGGAGGGUCCGAGCGUUAUCCGGAAUCAUUGGGUUUAAAGGGUCCGUAGGCGGGAAUCUAAGUCAGUGGUGAAAUCUUGCAGCUCAACUGUAAAAUUGCCAUUGAUACUGGAUUUCUCGAAUUAGUGUGAAGUGAUUAGAAUGUGUAGUGUAGCGGUGAAAUGCAUAGAUAUUACACAGAAUACCAAUUGCGAAGGCAGAUCACUAACACUAUAUUGACGCUGAGGGACGAAAGCGUGGGGAGCGAACAGGAUUAGAAACCCCGGUAGUCC
rnacentral:rRNA from 1 species